GGUGAGCCUGAGAGGAUAUGUAGUAAACAAAAAGAAAUGUGAACUGUGGUACUUUCGGCAAUACAGUCAUUACCACAAAGGAGCUUUGAACAGAUUAAUUAAAGACGUCGGCGCGUGAUAUAUUCGAACGUUCCGAGAGGAAAAGUGGGUGGGUGUGACUCAGCAAACUCGGCCAGCGCCCCCAACUUUUUUCAUCACAAAAUAUUCAAAGAUCAUGGGUUUGUCCUUUUGACGAUUCUUAAUCUCUACUUUGAACAAAGAAGAAAAAGAAAAAGAAAAAGAUAAGAAUUGCUAUUACUACUACUACUAUUGUUAUUUCAAAGUUCAAAGUUCAAAGUUAGAUAUCGUUCUCGAUCGUUCAUGCAGAAUAAGCAUCCGUUCUUCAACUCAGUUGACAGGAAGGAUGAGAGUGACAAUGGUGGAGGUGGCCCAAACGCCAAAAUUAGCAGCGAGGCAUGUGGUUGUUUACUCGAAGCAUGUGAUCUGUACAGUAAAUGGACAGUGACUUUCACUAAGGGAGAAACCCCGUGAAUUGAGCCUUAAACCACAAUCUUCUACCAUUUUCCAGUCUCUAGCUCCUGUGCUCCCCAAAAACAAAAGUACUUUGUAAAAAAAGUAGUAACAGUGAUAAGCAUGCAACGGUCACUUUCAAUUCC